UGGCCUCGGCCUCGCCAUUUUGUCAGAGUCAACACAGAGCAUCCAGUUAUGGGCGAGGAGGUCCAACUAUGAUGGUGUUAUUUCAUGGGAGCUACGGAAAACCGUUCAACAUGAUGAGCUCUUUUCACAAUCUGCAUGCUUGGAAGAACUGUUCCUGAUGCCAGGGUAUGAUGAGGACACAAAUGUGAUUUUUCUGUCUUCAGAUUCUCGUGACUACAUCCUCCAGCUUGAGUCCAUGCAGUUCAAGUAUAUUGGUAGAAGAGAAUACAGGACUUCCAGAAUAGAUUAUCCCUAUACAAAUUUCUGUACUGCAGGUAGGUGGAUUGCUGGUGGAGAUGGAGCUGAAAAUGCUACCUAAGUUAUAUUCUGUUUUGGUGAGAUGCAGAAAUGGCUCUUUGUUGCAGUUCUGUUCUUCCGCUUUCAUAUGAUGUGGCUACUGACGUGGUGUCGAUGCUGACAGCCUGACAUUGUCCUGAUAUGUAGCUUUUUGUUGGCCCUUGCAAUGUGUAUGCCAUGGCCUAUGAAAUGGACUUGCAGGAUUUAAUAGUGUAACUCGCUCA